GAAGAUAUAUUUUUUAUUGGAAGGGCGAGGCAGGGGAGAGCUGGGGCUUCGGAGGUGAAGGUCAUCUGUAAAAAUUUGAGCUUUUGUGGUGGGUUCACCCUUUUUAUUUUGACGAAAACUAGCUAGGGGAGAGUUGACUUAAUAGGACUGUCAUGAAUUUCUUACUCGAGUGAAAGGGAGGGCUACACCUGUACACGACAGGUCACCAGGCCCAGAAGAGUUGUCCGAGAGACACUGGGUACUAUUGCGAUAGAACUAAGAUAGUUAACACAGCACGUGAACUUUAGUUAUGAAAUUUAGUUAUUAAGAAGAAUAUUGGAGAUUGUUAUUGAGUUUUUCUUUUGGAUUCGAUAGGGACACAUUCGUGAACCGCACAUGGAUACACGACACAUCGACUCAUCAACACAGCAUACUUUCGAGAAUUUCUAUCUUGUGGCAUAAUAACGACAUGAGAGAUAAUGAAUCUUCGUUUAAUCUGAUUAGGAAAUAGAUGUAUGUAUUGAAUGCGAGUUUCAUGAAGGACCCAAUAAAUAUAGAUUGAUGAAAGCAUA